UACGGAGGGUGCGAGCGUUGUCCGGAAUCAUUGGGCGUAAAGGGCGCGUAGGUGGCGUGGUAAGCGUGCGGUGAAAGCCUGGGGCUCAACCCCGGGUCGGCCGUGCGAACUGCUGGGCUUGAGCACUGUAGAGGCAGGCGGAAUUCCGGGUGUAGCGGUGGAAUGCGUAGAGAUCCGGAAGAACACCGGUGGCGAAGGCGGCCUGCUGGGCAGUUGCUGACACUGAGGCGCGACAGCGUGGGGAGCAAACAGG
rnacentral:rRNA from 1 species